CGAAUCAUCAUUGUAAUGGCAACUUUAGCUGUCAGGGAUCCUGUUGCAGCUCUGCCUCAGCCAGUCUGUGCACAGAGCAUGGAGCACCAGGGCCAUGGAGCAUGUGGGCUAUGGAAUCGGGUUGCCUAUUUUCAUCUUGACUCCAUCACUUGCUGGGCAACCUUGAGGAGCGGACUCAAACCUUUCAAAUAUUUUGAGUGGUUGGAAAGAAGAAACACAAAACAAUUCUAUUUUCUGAGUUUUAAAAAUGUCUGAACCCCUGGAAGACCCAGCCAGACCAAAUCUGCUUUUUCUCCUGGAUCCAUAAUGUACAGUGGUAAAUUAAAGGCUUCGAGAAGCUCUGUA
rnacentral:lncRNA from 1 species